rnacentral:rRNA from 1 species
AGUGAACGCUGGCGGUAGGCCUAACACAUGCAAGUCGAACGGCAGCACAGGAGAGCUUGCUCUCUGGGUGGCGAGUGGCGGACGGGUGAGGAAUACAUCGGAAUCUACCUUUUCGUGGGGGAUAACGUAGGGAAACUUACGCUAAUACCGCAUACGACCUACGGGUGAAAGUGGGGGACCGCAAGGCCUCACGCGAUUAGAUGAGCCGAUGUCCGAUUAGCUAGUUGGCGGGGUAAUGGCCCACCAAGGCGACGAUCGGUAGCUGGUCUGAGAGGAUGAGCAGCCACACUGGAACUGAGACACGGUCCAGACUCCUACGGGAGGCAGCAGGGGGGAAUAUUGGACAAUGGGCGCAAGCCUGAUCCAGCCAUACCGCGUGGGUGAAGAAGGCCUUCGGGUUGUAAAGCCCUUUUGUUGGGAAAGAAAUCCUGUCGAUUAAUACUCGGUGGGGAUGACGGUACCCAAAGAAUAAGCACCGGCUAACUUCGUGCCAGCCGCCGCGGUAAUAC